UGGGGGAUAUUGCACAAUGGGGGAAACCCUGAUGCAGCAACGCCGCGUGAAGGAUGAAGGUUUUCGGAUUGUAAACUUCUGUUCUUAGUGACGAUAAUGACGGUAGCUAAGAAGAAAGCUCCGGCUAACUACGUGCCAGCAGCCGCGGUAAUACGUAGGGAGCGAGCGUUGUCCGGAUUUACUGGGUGUAAAGGGUGCGUAGGCGGCUAUGCAAGUCAGGCGUGAAAGCCAUGGGCUUAACCCAUGAACUGCGCUUGAAACUGUGUAGCUUGAGUGAAGUAGAGGCAGGCGGAAUUCCCGGUGUAGCGGUGAAAUGCGUAGAGAUCGGGAGGAACACCAGUGGCGAAGGCGGCCUGCUGGGCUUUAACUGACGCUGAGGCACGAAAGCAUGGGUAGCAAACA
rnacentral:rRNA from 1 species